rnacentral:lncRNA from 1 species
GCCCCAGGCCCUGCCCGUCAUGCCUCCCGCAGUGAGCUAUAAGACAGGCCCUUGCCUUGCCUCCAUUUCUCCCCCCACAGCAUGUUUUGUUUUGGAAAUCUCUGGAAAAAGGACCUUUGCUUGGAAUGUCCCAGCGCCCUAAGAACAGCAGCAGCACCGGAUGUAGUCUCUGCUUCCGGUUGUCAUCAGCCAAUGAGAGAAGGUUAAAGAGAACACUAGCGUUUUCCCACAGGAGAAUGCGAGUGCCCAGCAGCAAGGCAGCUGCUGUCCCCAGACCGGUUUCUGUCCAUGGGCGGCUGACACUCGCGGGGUGCUGGGCAUCCGCCUCACUGACGCCAUCUCGUGUCAUUACUGGAACACCACUGUGGGACACUACCGGCAGGGGAAAUCUGGGGCUCCCAACGGUGAAGCCCCUUCUCCCGCGUCUCUGGAGGAC